AUUGAACGCUGGCGGCAGGCCUAACACAUGCAAGUCGAACGAGUGGCGGACGGGUGAGUAAUGUAUGGGAAACUGCCCGAUGGAGGGGGAUAACUACUGGAAACGGUAGCUAAUACCGCAUACCAUCGGAUGUGCCCAGAUGGGAUUAGCUUGUAGGUGAGGUAACGGCUCACCUAGGCGACGAUGCCUAGCUGGUCUGAGAGGAUGACCAGCCACACUGGAGCUGAGAGCCGGUCCAUAGCCCGCCGGGAGGCAGCAGGGGGGAAGAUAGCGAAAUGGGGUCAAGCCGUAUGUAGCCAUGGCGCGUGAAUGAAGAAGACCGUUGGGUUGUAAAGUACUUGCAGCGGGGAGGCGUUACCCACAGAAGAAGCACCGGCUAACUCCGUUCCAGCAGCCGCGGUAAUUC
rnacentral:rRNA from 1 species